AAUAAGCAAGAUUUAAGAAAGCGUCUAAUAUCUGCAAUAUUCCAGAGAUAAAUUCUGGGUAAUGCCAACAUAGGUGAGGGGGUAGGAAUUAGUAUAGAGCAGAGAGAGAUGAGAAUGUCCAGAACUACUAUUGUUGGGGAUGAGAAAGGUGAACAAUUGUAAGUUCAUGUAAUUUAUGGGGAAAAAUAAAAAUAGAGAUCCUAAUAAGUUAAUGGAACAACUAAUAGAAAUGGAAAAUUGAAUGUAUAACUUUGAAACAUGCUAUGUCAGUUAGGAAAGGCUUGCUGGCAGGUAAGAAAAAUCUGCAAAUUAGCGUAUUAAGCAAGAUGGAGGCUUACAUCUUUCUGAAAAGAAUUUUUGACGUAGGCAGUCAGUCCAUUGCUGAUGUAGCAGCUCCAUGGCAAUAUUAAACCCAGCUGACCUACCGCUUCCUUUUUAGGACAUUUCUCAGAUAUCAUACAUCAAACCUUCUUUUACAUCUCAUUGGCUAAUCAUAUGACAAUAUCCGGCUUUCAGGAAGGCUGAGAUGUACUAUAUAGCAGGACUGCAUCAUGUCCAACUAAAAAUUGGGGUUCUCAAACUAAGGAAGGAGGGGAAAAUAGCUAUCAGGAGUUGACUAGCAAACUGCCACACCUGCAGAAGGAAACUUAAUGGAAGGCAAGAAUGAAGGGGGAAAAAAAACUAAGUAGUAUGGUAAUUAGAAAAUGUGUUAGAACAUGUGGAAAA